rnacentral:antisense_RNA from 1 species
CAACCCUAAGCUUUUGAGGAACUAAUAAAAGCUUCAUCUACUCUUUUAUUGCAUAACACAAACAAGCAUACAGACAUGAGAAAAAGGAACACAAGACACAACGAAGGAGAAUAGUUAAAAAGGAAAACAAGAAUGAUCAAAGCAAUAAUAUACCUACCUACAUACUCAUCUGUAGAAGAGAACAUGAACAUGAACAUGUUUUCCUUUUAUUACAUGAAGAUCAUAGUGAUGAUUAUAAGAUAACAUAGAUAUAUAUAGAGCCAUAUAAAAGGGACCCAUAAUGGAAUCCAUUGCCUUCUUGUGACUUGCCGGUUCGCCGGAGCUUUCGCCGCCAUAGCUUGUCUCUAUGAUCCUCUAUCAAGGAGAAGAAUGAAUGAAUGGCUUUAUCUUCUUCUUCUUCCCCCCUUUAGUGAUCAUAGAAAAACUAAUAACAUAGCUUAAGCCAAAGCAAACUGUUUUUGGAGUUUUAUGAGUGUGAGGGGUGAAACAACAAAUAAACCCUCUUCACACUUAUAACACUCCAUGCUUCUUUCAAGAUCCAUGGAUAGAUUUUUGCCAACAUAGAACCUUCAUAGAUUCAGGACUCCUUGUAUUGGUUUAGAUGAUUCCUAAACAAACAAACAAAAAAUAAUCAAGAAAACAAAGUUAG